GAUGCUGACGAGUGGCGAACGGGUGAGUAAUACAUCGGAACGUGCCCGAUCGUGGGGGAUAACGGAGCGAAAGCUUUGCUAAUACCGCAUACGAUCUACGGAUGAAAGCAGGGGACCGCAAGGCCUUGCGCGGACGGAGCGGCCGAUGGCAGAUUAGGUAGUUGGUGGGAUAAAAGCUUACCAAGCCGACGAUCUGUAGCUGGUCUGAGAGGACGACCAGCCACACUGGGACUGAGACACGGCCCAG
rnacentral:rRNA from 1 species